CUCAGACAAAUUUUCGUUGUGCAAAUAAGCGAUGUAGAUUAAGCAUUAUAAAUACACAAUAUAAACAUACGAUCCUCGCACGUCUCUAGACUCUAGCAAUAUCUAUAUAAGUAACAAUGGAUUAUGAUAUAAAUAUACAUUAAGUAAUACCCUAAAUCCUAAUGCAUUAAACGAUUGAACGGAUCUUCAAAUGUAUUGUUGAAUAAAAAAAACGUGCUAUUUAUAUCAAAGCCAGACAAAGGAGGUCUUUCAUCGUGGAAAAUUGAAGAAAAUGUGAUUGUGCGCAUUCUAGAACUAUAGUACAAGCUUUCUCAAAACAGUUUUUGAACUUUUUGAACAUCGUAUAUAUAACUCUGUCUUUUAUAGCAGGUAAUACUCAC